rnacentral:rRNA from 1 species
UACGUAGGGGGCUAGCGUUGUCCGGAAUCAUUGGGCGUAAAGCGCGUGUAGGCGGUCCGGUAAGUCCGCUGUGAAAGUCGAGGGCUCAACCCUCGAAUGCCGGUGGAUACUGUCGGGCUUGAGUACGGGAGAGGCGAGUGGAAUUCCUGGUGUAGCGGUGAAAUGCGCAGAUAUCAGGAGGAACACCGAUUGCGAAGGCAGCUCACUAAACUGCAACUGACACUGAGGCACGAAAGCGUGGGGAUCAAACAGG